rnacentral:rRNA from 1 species
GAGUUUGAUCCUGGCUCAGAACGAACGCUGGCGGCGUGGAUAAGACAUGCAAGUCGAACGGGACUUAUUUUGUAGCAAUACAAGGUAAGUUCAGUGGCGUAAGGGUGCGUAACACGUGGGGAAUCUGCCGAGAAGUGGGGGAUAGCUCGCCGAAAGGCGAAUUAAUACCGCAUGUGAUCAGGAAAGACAUCUUUCCGACAUCAAAGCCGGGGCAACCUGGCGCUUCUUGAUGACCCCGCGGCCUAUCAGCUAGUUGGUGAGGUAACGGCUCACCAAGGCUAUGACGGGUAGCUGGUCUGAGAGGACGACCAGUCACACUGGAACUGAGACACGGUCCAGACACCUACGGGUGGCAGCAGUCGAGAAUUUUUCUCAAUGGGGGAAACCCUGAAGGAGCGACGCCGCGUGGAGGAUGAAGGUCUUCGGAUUGUAAACUCCUGUCAUUUGGGAACAAUGUGCAUGGAUUAACUGUCGAUGCAUUGAUAGUACCAGAAGAGGAAGAGACGGCUAACUCUGUGCCAGCAGCCGCGGUAAUACAGAGGUCUCAAGCGUUGUUCGGAUUCAUUGGGCGUAAAGGGUGCGUAGGCGGCGGGGUAAGUCGGAUGUGAAAUCUCAGGGCUCAACCCUGAAACUGCAUUCGAUACUGCUCUGCUCGAGGACUCGAGAGGAGAUUGGAAUUCACGGUGUAGCAGUGAAAUGCGUAGAUAUCGUGAAGAAGACCAGUGGCGAAGGCGGAUCUCUGGAGAGUUCCUGACGCUGAGGCACGAAGGCCAGGGGAGCAAACGGGAUUAGAUACCCCGGUAGUCCUGGCAGUAAACGGUGCACGUUUGGUGUGGGAGGAUUCGACCCCUUUCCGUGCCGGAGCUAACGCGUUAAACGUGCCGCCUGGGGAGUACGGUCGCAGAUUAAACUC